rnacentral:rRNA from 1 species
AGUGAACGCUGGCGGCGUGCUUAACACAUGCAAGUCGAACGAGAACGGAAUAUAGCUUGCUAUAUUUGUCAGCUAAGUGGCGCACGGGUGAGUAAUGUAUAGAUAACCUGCCCUUAAGAAAGGAAUAACAGUUGGAAACGACUGCUAAUGCCCUAUAUGCCUUUAAUACAUAAGUAUGCAAGGGAAACGCUUUAGUGCUUAAGGAUGGGUCUGUAUGGUAUCAGCUUGUUGGUGAGGUAAUGGCUCACCAAGGCUAUGACGCCUAACUGGUUUGGAGGGAUGAACAGUCACACUGGAACUGAGACACGGUCCCGACUCCUACGGGAGGCAGCAGUGGGGAAUAUUGCACAAUGGACGAAAGUCUGAUGCAGCAACGCCGCGUGGAGGAUGACACAUUUCGGUGCGAAAACUCCUUUUAUAUAGGAAGAUAAUGACGGUAUUAUAUGAAUAAGCACCGGCUAACUCCGUGCCAGCCGCCGCUGUAA